AGUGAACGCUGGCGGUAGGCCUAACACAUGCAAGUCGAACGGCAGCACAGUAAGAGCUUGCUCGUACGGGUGGCGAGUGGCGGACGGGUGAGGAAUACAUCGGAAUCUACUUUUUCGUGGGGGAUAACGUAGGGAAACUUACGCUAAUACCGCAUACGACCUACGGGUGAAAGCAGGGGAUCUUCGGACCUUGCGCGAGUGAAUGAGCCGAUGUCGGAUUAGCUAGUUGGCGGGGUAAAGGCCCACCAAGGCGACGAUCCGUAGCUGGUCUGAGAGGAUGAUCAGCCACACUGGAACUGAGACACGGUCCAGACUCCUACGGGAGGCCGCAGUGGGGAAUAUUGGACAAUGGGCGCAAGCCUGAUCCAGCCAUACCGCGUGGGUGAAGAAGGCUUUCGGGUUGUAAAGCCCUUUUGUUGGGAAAGAAAAGCAGCAGGUUAAUACCCCGCUGUUCUGACGGUACCCAAAGAAUAAGCACCGGCUAACUUCGUG
rnacentral:rRNA from 1 species